rnacentral:rRNA from 1 species
GAGAGUCGGUAGUCCGAUAACGAGCGCACCCUUAUCCUUAGUUGCCAGCACGUAAUGGUGGGGACUCUAGGGAAACUGCCCGGGAUAACCGGAAGGAAGGUGGGGUCGACGUCAAGUCAGUAUGUCCCUUACGUUCAGGGCUACACACGUAAUACAAUGGGGAGUACAGAGGGUAGCAAUACUGCGAAGUGGAGCCAAUCCCAAAAAACUCCCCCAAGUUCGGAUUGCAGUCUGCAACUCGACUGCAUGAAGCAGGAAUCGCUAGUAAUCGCGCAUCAGCAUGGCGCGGUGAAUACGUUCCCGGGUCUUGUACACACCGCCCGUCACGCCAUGGAAGCCGGUAGCACCCAAUGUCAGUGUCCUAACCUUCGGGAAGGAGCUGCUUAAGGUGAGAUUGGUAACUGGGGCGAAGUCGUAACAAGGUAGCCGUACCGGAAGGUGCGGCUGGAUUACCUCCUUUCU